rnacentral:tRNA from 1 species
GCCUGAGUGGCUCAGUUGGUUAAGCGGCUGACUUCGGCUCAGGUCAUGAUCUCAUGGUUCAUGGGUUCAAGCCCUGUGUUGGGCA